rnacentral:rRNA from 1 species
UACGUAGGGUGCAAGCGUUAAUCGGAAUUACUGGGCGUAAAGCGCACGUAGGCGGAUUUGUUAGUCAGGGGUGAAAUCCCGAGGCUCAACCUCGGAACUGCCUUUGAUACUGCAAAUCUCGAGUCCGGAAGAGGUGAGUGGAAUUCCUAGUGUAGAGGUGAAAUUCGUAGAUAUUAGGAAGAACACCAGUGGCGAAGGCGGCUCACUGGUCCGGUACUGACGCUGAGGUGCGAAAGCGUGGGGAGCAAACAGG